rnacentral:pre_miRNA from 1 species
CAAGUACUCCCUCCGUCUGGAAUUACUUGUCAUCAAAAUGGAUGUGUCUAGAACUAAAAUACAUCUAGAUACAUCCAUUUCAAUGACAAGUAUUUUCGGACGAAGGGAGUACAAG